rnacentral:rRNA from 1 species
UACGUAGGGGGCAAGCGUUGUCCGGAUUUAUUGGGCGUAAAGAGCGUGUAGGCGGCCAUACAGGUCAGCUGUGAAAACUCGAGGCUCAACCUCGAGACGUCGGUUGAAACCGUACGGGCUAGAGUCCGGAAGAGGAGAGUGGAAUUCCCCGGUGUAGCGGUGAAAUGCGCAGAUAUCGGGGAAGAACACCCGUGGCGAAGGCGGCUCUCUGGGACGGUACUGACGCUGAGACGCGAAAGCGUGGG